rnacentral:rRNA from 1 species
GCAGUCGAGCGGUAACAGGAUGUGCUUGCACAUCGCUGACGAGCGGCGGACGGGUGAGUAAUGCUUGGGAACUUGCCUUGGCGAGGGGGAUAACCACUGGAAACGGUGGCUAAUACCGCAUAAUGUCUUCGGACCAAAGGGGGCUUAGGCUCCCGCGCUUAGAGAGGCCCAAGUGAGAUUAGCUAGAUGGUGAGGUAAAGGCUUACCAUGGCAACGAUCUCUAGCUGUUCUGAGAGGAAGAUCAGCCACACUGGGACUGAAACACGGCCCAGACUCCUACGGGAGGCAGCAGUGGGGAAUAUUGGACAAUGGGGGCAACCCUGAUCCAGCCAUGCCGCGUGUGUGAAGAAGGCCUUCGGGUUGUAAAGCACUUUCAGUGGGGAGGAAGGCCAAGUAGUUAAUACCUGCUUGGAUUGACGUUACCCACAGAAGAAGCACCGGCUAACUCCGUGCCAGCAGCCGCGGUAAUACGGAGGGUGCAAGCGUUAAUCGGAAUUACUGGGCGUAAAGCGCACGCAGGCGGUUUGUUAAGCUAGAUGUGAAAGCCCCGGGCUCAACCUGGGACGGUCAUUUAGAACUGGCAGACUAGAGUCUUGGAGAGGGGAGUGGAAUUCCAGGUGUAGCGGUGAAAUGCGUAGAUAUCUGGAGGAACAUCAGUGGCGAAGGCGACUCCCUGGCCAAAGACUGACGCUCAUGUG